GAACGCUGGCGGCGUGCUUAACACAUGCAAGUCGAACGGAAAGGCCCUGCUUUUGUGGGGUGCUCGAGUGGCGAACGGGUGAGUAACACGUGAGUAACCUGCCCUUGACUUUGGGAUAACUUCAGGAAACUGGGGCUAAUACCGGAUAGGAGCUCCUGCUGCAUGGUGGGGGUUGGAAAGUUUCGGCGGUUGGGGAUGGACUCGCGGCUUAUCAGCUUGUUGGUGGGGUAGUGGCUUACCAAGGCUUUGACGGGUAGCCGGCCUGAGAGGGUGACCGACCACAUUGGGACUGAGAUACGGCCCAGACUCCUACGGGAGGCAGCAGUGGGGAAUAUUGCACAAUGGGCGGAAGCCUGAUGCAGCAACGCCGCGUGCGGGAUGACGGCCUUCGGGUUGUAAACCGCUUUCGCCUGUGACGAAGCGUGAGUGACGGUAAUGGGUAAAGAAGCACCGGCUAACUACGUGCCAGCAGCCGCGGUGAUACGUAGGGUGCGAGCGUUGUCCGGAUUUAUUGGGCGUAAAGGGCUCGUAGGUGGUUGAUCGCGUCGGAAGUGUAAUCUUGGGGCUUAACCCUGAGCGUGCUUUCGAUACGGGUUGACUUGAGGAAGGUAGGGGAGAAUGGAAUUCCUGGUGGAGCGGUGGAAUGCGCAGAUAUCAGGAGGAACACCAGUGGCGAAGGCGGUUCUCUGGGCCUUUCCUGACGCUGAGGAGCGAAAGCGUGGGGAGCGAACAGGCUUAGAUACCCUGGUAGUCCACGCUGUAAACGGUGGGUACUAGGUGUGGGGUCCAUUCCACGGGUUCCGUGCCGUAGCUAACGCUUUAAGUACCCCGCCUGGGGAGUACGGCCGCAAGGCUAAAACUCAAAGGAAUUGACGGGGCCCCGCACAAGCGGCGGAGCAUGCGGAUUAAUUCGAUGCAACGCGUAGAACCUUACCUGGGUUUGACAUGGAUCGGGAGUGCUCAGAGAUGGGUGUGCCUCUUUUGGGGUCGGUUCACAGGUGGUGCAUGCCUGUCGUCAGCUCGUGUCGUGAGAUGUUGGGUUAAGUCCCGCAACGAGCGCAACCCUUGUUCACUGUUGCCAGCACGUUAUGGUGGGGACUCAGUGGAGACCGCCGGGGUCAACUCGGAGGAAGGUGGGGAUGACGUCAAGUCCUCAUGCCCCUUAUGUCCAGGGCUUCACGCAUGCUACAAUGGCUGGUACAGAGAGUGGCGAGCCUGUGAGGGUGAGCGAAUCUCGGAAAGCCGGUCUCAGUUCGGAUUGGGGUCUGCAACUCGACCUCAUGAAGUCGGAGUCGCUAGUAAUCGCAGAUCAGCAACGCUGCGGUGAAUACGUUCCCGGGGCUUGUACACACCGCCCGUCAAGUCAUGAAAGUUGGUAACACCCGAAGCCGGUGGCCUAACCGUUGUGGGGGAGCCGUCGAAGGUGGGACUGGUGAUUAGGACUAAG
rnacentral:rRNA from 1 species